CUCUCUCUCUCUGUGUCUCUCUGUCUGUGUCUCAGUCUUCGUAGCAGCAGCAGUAAACUGGCUCAGCUGACUCUGGAGCAGAUUUUGGAGCACAUGGACAACCUGAGACUGAGUCUGAGCAACAUCAAGAACAGCUUCUUCAGUCAGACUCCGAUCCUUCAGGCUCUGCAGCACGUUCAGGCCAGCUGUGAUGAAGCACACAAGAUGAGGUUCAGUGACCUCUUCGCUCUGGCGGAGGAGUACGAGGACUCGCAGUCGAAGCCCUGAAGUCUCGCGUAAAGCUCCGGCAACGUCGCCGCGCUCUACGCAAAGGAGCGGCUCCUCCCACCAACAACGAUGAUGAGAGCGGCUCCAGCAGCGCCUCCGAGGAGGAAGACUCGAAGCCCAAAGCUCCUAAGAGGAAGAGGAAAGGCUCGUCGGCCGUCGGCUCCGACAGCGACUGACGGACUCCGACCUCCUGACCAAUCACACGCCAGCUGCCACAGACACCGUCAGCCAACCAGCAGCUCCGACUGACUGACCGCUGCGAGAGGCCCCGCCCCCCUCCUCCCCUCCCCUCCUCCAAUGACACGCACUGAAGCGGCGGGAGGGGCGGGGCUCCGAGGCGCAGUAUCAGCAGCAGCAGACUUUUUUUUAAAUCCAUGAGGAGAAACGGACUUUAUGACGUAAUGAGACUGAUCAUGUUUCCAUGGAGACGACCCGCCAAACUCAGGCAGGUCAAAGGUCAACCGUGUGGCUGAAUUCCCACGAUGCACUGUGAGGAGAAAAAACCACGAACUCUGGGAACCAAAAGACUGAUUUUAACACAGGGAACAUGAUGAUGAUGAUGAAUAAUGAUGAAGAUGAGUGCGGUUGUUUGUGGGUACUUUUGUCUUUUUUUUUUCAGUUCUUUCCCUUUUUUCUUUUUUUUUUUGA